rnacentral:tRNA from 1 species
GGGCGAGUGGCGGAAUGGCAGACGCUGGGGACUUAAAAUCCCCUGCCCGAAAGGGCGUGCGGGUUCGAAUCCCGCCUUGCCCA